UACGUAGGGGGCAAGCGUUGUUCGGAUUCAUUGGGCGUAAAGGGUGCGUAGGCGGCGCGGUAAGUCGGGUGUGAAAUCUCGGAGCUUAACUCCGAAACUGCAUUCGAUACUGCCGUGCUUGAGGACUGGAGAGGAGACUGGAAUUUACGGUGUAGCGGUGAAAUGCGUAGAUAUCGUAAGGAAGACCAGUGGCGAAGGCGGGUCUCGUGGACAGUUCCUGACGCUGAGGCACGAAGGCCAGGGGAGCAAACGGG
rnacentral:rRNA from 1 species